GGGGGGGUGGGGGUUAAGAGGAGGGAGACGGAGGAGGGGCAGAUGCUCCCACUGGGGAAUUUGAGCAGUAGCUCGCCUGGCCGUUUCGGGAAAUGACUCGCAGGACCUGCUCCGCAUUACAGAGGCGAAUCGAGCUACGAGAAGGGGUGUCUCUAAAUAGAAAUUGCUUCAGAGUCUUUCAUUUUAAACCCCCCCCCCAGCGUCCCCCUUUCAAGUCAGUGGGAAAACCCCGGGGUUCUUGCGGAACAAAGAGGAUACGGCGUAAAACAAAGAGUUCUUGACGCGUCUGGCUUCAGAUAGCAGAUCGCUUUAGCUUGCUCUGUCGCGCCUUAAGGGACCCGUUUAAAAUACCGGCCACCAAACGCAAAUUACGAGAGGGGCUUUUUGGGGAGCAAGGGGGCUCGAACUCCCCGGGCAGAGCUAAAGCGAGUUCCUCCAGCCCUUUUCCUCCUGCCCCCUAAAGACCUCCUGGCUGGGUUACGCACGCUGCCUUAACCCCCCUUGCCCCAGACCCUGGAGUUCAAACCGGCUUUUCUUCUGAAGACGACUUGGGACUUUUUAAAAUAUUACAGCGGCUUGGCUGGGAUCACCCGACCCGAGACGGCAGCUUGCGUGUGUAAACGCGAAUCGAUCCCGUUCCAACCAGACACCACGGACCUCGCCCUCCCCCUGGCCUGGGGCGAUGCCCUGCGCCAGAGGGACCUUCCCCAGAGCUCGUCCUAACGGCGGGGGAAAUCCAGCCGCGCUCGCAAGCGGGCAAAGUUUAACCCUAAAACUCCCGGCCCCUGUGCAAAGCGUUCCCAGUUUGGCUCUCCGUUUAGUGUGCGGGGGUGGGCGAAAAAAUAAUAAAGCCUCCUUUUCUGGCGGUGUCAAGCCCAGCUCGGGGCUAACAGCCGGAACCAGCUGGCAGAAGAGCCCGACAUGGGGUCCCCCCUCCCCUUAAAGGAAGCAGCUCGUGUGUAAGCAUCCACACUGACAUCAAACGGGCCAAAGGUCCCCCUUUACCCUCCCCUAGGCUGGCCGACCAACUCCCUGGCAUCUUGCAAGGGAUGGUUCAAAACGCCGGACAAAUACUCAGUUUUAAAAAUGGCCCCC